GUCGGGUGCAGUGGCGCGCGCCUGUAAUCCAAGCUGCUGGGAGGCUGAGGCUGGCGGAUCGCUUGAGUUCAGGGGUUCUGGGCUGCAGUGGACUAUGUCGAUCGGGUGUCCGCACUAAGUUCGGUAUCGAUAUGGUGCUCCUGGGGGAGCUCGGGACCACCAGGUCGUCUAAGGAGGGGUGAACCGGCCCAGGUCGGAGACGGAGCAGGUCAAAGCCCCCGUGCCGAUCAGUAGUGGGGUCGCGCCUGUGAAUAGACACUGCAGUGCAGCCUGAGCGAUACAGCGAGACUCAGACUUU
rnacentral:SRP_RNA from 1 species